UAGCUCAGUGGUCGAGUGCAUGCUUAGCAAGCAUGAGGUCCUGGGUUCAAUUCCCCAG
rnacentral:tRNA from 1 species